UAGCUGAGUGGUAAAGCGCUUGGUUUCUGACCGGGGGCCCCGGGUUCGAAUCCUGG
rnacentral:tRNA from 1 species